rnacentral:rRNA from 1 species
AGUGAACGCUGGCGGUAGGCCUAACACAUGCAAGUCGAACGGCAGCACAGUAAGAGCUUGCUCUUACGGGUGGCGAGUGGCGGACGGGUGAGGAAUACAUCGGAAUCUACUUUUUCGUGGGGGAUAACGUAGGGAAACUUACGCUAAUACCGCAUACGACCUACGGGUGAAGGCAGGGGAUCUUCGGACCUUGCGCGAUUGAAUGAGCCGAUGUCGGAUUAGCUAGUUGGCGGGGUAAAGGCCCACCAAGGCGACGAUCCGUAGCUGGUCUGAGAGGAUGAUCAGCCACACUGGAACUGAGACACGGUCCAGACUCCUACGGGAGGCAGCAGUGGGGAAUAUUGGACAAUGGGCGCAAGCCUGAUCCAGCCAUACCGCGUGGGUGAAGAAGGCCUUCGGGUUGUAAAGCCCUUUUGUUGGGAAAGAAAAGCAGCAGGUUAAUACCCCGCUGUCCUGACGGUACCCAAAGAAUAAGCACCGGCUAACUUCGUG